rnacentral:tRNA from 2 species
GCCGGCGUAGCUCAGCGGUAGAGCACCGGUUUCGUAAACCGGGGGUCGUGGGUUCAAUCCCCACCGCCGGCU